UGAUCAUGUAUCCCGAGGUAU
rnacentral:piRNA from 1 species